rnacentral:snRNA from 1 species
GUUUAUUCACUUCGAUAGUACAUAUACUAGAAUUGGAACGAUACAAAGAAGAUUAGCAUAGCUUCUGAAUAAAAAUGACGUGCGAAAUCGUGAGGUGUACCAUAAUUUU